rnacentral:rRNA from 1 species
UACGGAGGGGUCUAGCGUUAUUCGGAAUUACUGGGCGUAAAGCGUGCGCAGGCGGUUGUGCAAGACAGAUGUGAAAUCCCCGGGCUCAACCUGGGAACUGCAUUUGUGACUGCACAGCUUGAGUGCGGCAGAGGGGGAUGGAAUUCCGCGUGUAGCAGUGAAAUGCGUAGAUAUGCGGAGGAACACCGAUGGCGAAGGCAAUCCCCUGGGCCUGCACUGACGCUCAUGCACGAAAGCGUGGGGAGCAAACAGG